UACUCCCGCCGGCGACCGGCGCACGGGUGAGUAACACGUAUGAAACCUGCCCGUAGCAGGGGGAUAAGCGGAAGAAAUUCCGUCUAAUACCGCGUAACAACCCGAGGAGGCAUCUCCUCGGGUUUAAAGGAAGCGAUUCCGGCUACGGAUGGUCAUGCGUCGCAUUAGCUAGUUGGCGGGGUAACGGCCCACCAAGGCGACGAUGCGUAGGGGUUCUGAGAGGAAGGUCCCCCACAUUGGAACUGAGACACGGUCCAAACUCCUACGGGAGGCAGCAG
rnacentral:rRNA from 1 species